GUUUCAUUAAUUCUACUAAUUUCUCUUAGUUUAUUGAAUAGAAAUUUUUCUGUUACUACCUGUUACCUGUUUGUACAAGAAAAUCUUUUUUUUCUACAUUUUUUAAAGGUACAAGUUCCCAAUGAUAAACAUAAAUAUAUUAUACACCUAAAAUGUACCAAUAAAAGAAUUUAAGAAAAAAAAAAAGAGAGAUGUAAUUCAAUGCAAAGGCCCUGGAGACUCAAUCCCUACUAAGGUACCAUUUUAAAAAAAGUUUUUUAUAUGUUUUGGGAUUGAUUUUGUGUAUAGUGUGAGAUUGGGAAUAAUUCUAAACACCCCCCCCCCCAUCAGCUCCUGGCUGCCUGGAAGAGGGACAGACCCAGAUCUCAACUGAGAGGCAUACCAAAGGCUUCCAUCCUCCACUAGCCGCCCGUCCCUGCCUGAUUAAGGGACCCUAAUCAGCUUGGGGAGAUUAAAGGCUCUUGCCUGCUGUUCCCACACCCCCGCCCUGGGCUAGCUUGGCAGGAAGACAAAGGGGAUCGACCCUGUGACUCCUUACCCCGGCCCUGGGCCCGAGCCCCAGACUUUUCGGGAGACUGGGUUUGGCUGAAGAAAUUCCCGAGGGAUCAUCAUGUAGCUAUCCGCUCAGCGACCAAGACGGCCUUUUCCAAGGUGAGGGGCCAGGUGUGAUGUAGUGUGGGGUGGCCAUCGAGCCCUCC
rnacentral:lncRNA from 1 species